rnacentral:lncRNA from 1 species
GUAUUUCUACAAGGUUUGUGCAAUUCAUCAACGACACAUGGGGGCAAAGAACCUUCAAAAUGGUUGUAAUCAAGAGCCAAGAGUUUCAAUUUGGAGAGCUUUCCAAAAUGGAGAGGGAGCACGCCACUCAACUAAUUAAAGGAGAGGUCAAGGAUUGCGAGGUUGGUGAGGUUGAAGAUUUUCUCACUUAUGGCACCGUGGAGUGAAUUGGAAGGAAAUGUAAUUUCUUCAAGUUUGGUGGCAUUGUAGAUAUCUUUCGGAAGUAACCCUGAGAGGUUAUUGUUACUAGCACGAAAAAUUUGCAUUUGUAAAUAUUCUUUACAUUUCUGCACUUUUAUCAAUGCUCUAACACUGCAUGCAUUGUAAAAAGAGUGUAUCCCACAUUGCGCACUCUUAGUUUAAUAUAUUUUGAUAUGAAAAUGGAUAGUUACAUUUAAUUAGUAAGGGGAAUAAACAUUACCCCUCACAAAACAAGAAAAACAAAAUAAGAAUAAAAUACAAGAAAUGAGGGGGGGACAUAAACCUUACCCUCCUUGCAAAAGAAAAUACAAGAAAAAAAAAAGAAGGGACAAGUAAGGGGGAUAAACAUUACCCCUCAUAAAACAAUAAAAAUAAAAUACAGGAAAUAAGGGGAGACAUAAGCCUUACCCUUCUUAUAAAAGAAAAUACAAGGAAAAAAAAAGGGACAUAGACCUAAAGCAAAUGGUAAUAUACAUAUCCUCGUAGUCUUUAGUAUGAAAAGAAAACCAAUAAAAAGCACAAUCUAGUCUCCUCUAAGCCUCCUUUUCAUCAUGUUCACACGCAUUAUAAUCAUGAAAUAGAGCCUAUCUUGUACAUUGUCAAAGAAUUUAAAAUAUGCAUAUCUCCAUGUCUUCUUAACAAUUAAAGAACCAAACACUCCCCAAAAUCCUACAAUGAAACCUAGUGCGGUAAAAAUAUGCAACCAUGGAAAAUCAUGCUCAUUGUCCACACCUUGGAUGUUCUUGCUAUCUGCAUCAAUGCCCUUAAUUGGUAGACACUCAUUUGGAAGUGGAGGGCCACACAGUUUUGAAUUCCUCUCAAACGCAGAAGCAUCGAAACUUUGGAGCUGAGUGCUUGUUGGGAUUGGUCCUUCGAGAUUAUUGUAUGAGACAUUGAAGGAUCUUAAGAAAUUAAGGCUUGCCAAUGACAACGGGAUGUUUCCAGACAAAUGAUUCAUGGAGAGGCGCAAAUUUUCUAGAUUUUUGAGGUUGGAUAUUUGUUCUAGAAUGUUGCCGAAAAAAUAGUUUCCACUAAGAUCCAAGGUUUGGACAAGGUGUAUUUGGCCGAUCUCAGUAGGUAUUCUGCAAUGAAUGUGAUUGAGAGAUAGGUCUAUUGUUCGUGGAAAGUUGGACAAUCUUCGCGGGUAAUUUUUGUCAUCAAAGUUGAAGAGAGGCAGGUCAAUAUAAUCGUCUGCUUGAGUUUUGGUCGAUUCAUGUACCAACCUUGGUAGUCCACAAAGUUCUUUUGGAAAUUCACCGGAAAUUUGAUUGUCUGACAAGUUCAAGAAUAAGAGUUUGGGCAGAGUCCCCAACGAUCUAGGAAUUGGCCCUGUAAUUCUACUACCUACCAAACCCAAGAUCUCUACAUUCUUGAGUUUUGAUAACCAUAAAGGUAUUUGACCAGUGAACUCACAAUAAGAAAAACUCAAAUAUCGAAGAUUUUGGAAACCUCCGAAACCAACCAUGCCUUCAUCAAAUGGCAUUUCCUCGCCUUCGAACGAAUACAAAAAGAUGAGAGUUUGAAGGCUUUUGCAAUGCAUUAAUAUUUUCAUUGCCCCAGUAAUGUUGGUUAAGCCACUUAGUGAGAGAAAGGACAAAGAUUUUAAUGAAAGAAUUUCAGGUUGUAUUUGUCCCUCUAAAUUAUUGUCAGCCAAACGAAUAGCUCUUAGGGACUGGUAUGAAUAAAGGCUUGUUGGAAAUGUACCAGUAAAGUUGUUUCUACGUAGGUCAAGUUUAUUGACGUGACUAAGUUUCGAGAAAUUGAGCUUGGAGAUAUCUCCUUCCAAGUUGUUGGCUCCCAUAUCCAUUUCUACAAGGUUCGUGCAAUUCAUCAACGAUGGGGGCAAAGAACCUUCAAAAUGGUUGUAAUCAAGAGCCAAGAGUUUCAAAUUGGAGAGCUUUCCAAAUUGGAGAGGGAGUACGCCACUUAACUGAUUAAAGGAGAGGUCAAGGAUUGCGAGGUUGGUGAGGUUGAAAAUUUUCUCACCUAUGGCUCCAUGGAGUGAAUUGGAAGGGAAUGCAAUUUCUUCAAGUUUGGUGGCAUUGUAGAUAUCUUUCGGAAGUAACCCUGAGAGAUUAUUGUUACUAGCACGAAAAAUUUGUAGUUUUGAACACUCUCCGAGUCCAGGAGAAAUGUUGCCACUAAAUUCAUUGUGGGAAAAAUCCAACAGCCUAAUCAAGGGAGAAGAAUGAAGGCAUAUAGAGGAUGGGAUCAAACCUGAGAAGGCAUUGUUGGUGAUGUUGAAACUAGUUAAAUUCCAAGCUUGUUGAAAGAAUGAUGUUGGAAUUGCACCCUGGAAGCGAUUGCUAGACAAAUCCAACGUCUGGAUAUUGUGGGAUGGUAGAGAAAAAGGUAGCUUUCCAGAAAGAAGAUUAAAGCUUAAAUCAAGGAUCUCAAGACGAUUCAAAGACGAGAAGAAUUCAAUUUCAAGUGAUCCGGAAAGUGAAUUGUGAGAGAGAUUCAAGUGGGUGAGGUGUGUGAGAUUUCCUAGUGACGAUGAUGAGGGGAAAAUAGCUCAUUUGAGACCUUUGGAGGAUAAGAGCAAAUGGGUGACCAAACCAUCCUGAUUACAAGUGAUGCCCUCCCAACUACAACAGUUAACUGAAGUCCAUUUUAAAGGGAGAGAAGAUAGGGUGGAGGUGAAGGACACAAGAGAGGCGCGCUCCGUUUGGUUGCAUGCAUGAACAUUUGUAGAGAUGAUGUGUGAGAAUAAGAGGAUAAGAAGAAAGCCAUGAGCCAUUGGGUUAGAAAGUAAGCUGGUCUAGCAUAUAGAUAUGUUUCUUUACAUUCGGAAUUCUCAAAGGUAUAUAUAGAGCAACUAAUUGCA